rnacentral:tRNA from 1 species
GUGUGUGGCUCAGUGGUAGACCACUUGCCCAGCAUGUGUAAGGCCCUGGGUUCAAUCCCCAGCACCACA